UAACCCUAAGAAGGGGAAAAGACAUCAUAUUACAGCAGAAAUGAACAGCAACCAAAUUUCAUGAUCUAAAACUGAAUACUGAUUUGAAAGGUCCUCAGUGGUUUAACAUGUGGGGGACAAGAAUACAUGCUAGGCAUUUACUGAUACUGGAAAGCAAAAAGAGGAUUCAGGGCUUCCCUGGUGGCGCAGUGGUUGAGAGUCCGCCUGCCGAUGCAGGGGACACGGGUUUGUGCCCCGGCCCGGGAAGAUCCCACAUGCUGCGGAGCGGCUGGGCCCGUGAGCCAUGGCCGCUGAGCCUGCACGUCUGGAGCCUGUGCUCUGCAACGGGAGAGGCCACAACAGUGAGAGGCCCGCGUACCGCAAAGGAAAAAAAAAGUAUAGAAAGACAUGCUUGAUACUGAAGAUCCAAGGCUUUGCACUCAAAGGCUGCGUAAUCUGGUGCUGUGCAUCUGUUUUUGAUGGACUGAUGAAAAUAUCUGGAGGCCCACUCUCCUACUCAGUUCCCUCCUCCAGAGUGUCUCUUACCUUUUCUUCAUUAUUCACAAUUCCUUUAUAGGUCUCCCACUUGGAGUUGUUGUUUCUGAAGUUCAUUACAAAACUCUUUACAUAAAAGUUGAAAUUUGA